rnacentral:rRNA from 1 species
UAGCGGCGGACGGGUGAGUAAUGCUUAGGAAUCUGCCUAUUAGUGGGGGACAACAUCUCGAAAGGGAUGCUAAUACCGCAUACGUCCUACGGGAGAAAGCAGGGGAUCUUCGGACCUUGCGCUAAUAGAUGAGCCUAAGUCGGAUUAGCUAGUUGGUGGGGUAAAGGCCUACCAAGGCGACGAUCUGUAGCGGGUCUGAGAGGAUGAUCCGCCACACUGGGACUGAGACACGGCCCAGACUCCUACGGGAGGCAGCAGUGGGGAAUAUUGGACAAUGGGGGGAACCCUGAUCCAGCCAUGCCGCGUGUGUGAAGAAGGCCUUAUGGUUGUAAAGCACUUUAAGCGAGGAGGAGGCUACUUUAGUUAAUACCUAGAGAUAGUGGACGUUACUCGCAGAAUAAGCACCGGCUAACUCUGUGCCAGCAGCCGCGGUAAUACAGAGGGUGCGAGCGUUAAUCGGAUUUACUGGGCGUAAAGCGUGCGUAGGCGGCUUAUUAAGUCGGAUGUGAAAUCCCCGAGCUUAACUUGGGAAUUGCAUUCGAUACUGGUGAGCUAGAGUAUGGGAGAGGAUGGUAGAAUUCCAGGUGUAGCGGUGAAAUGCGUAGAGAUCUGGAGGAAUACCGAUGGCGAAGGCAGCCAUCUGGCCUAAUACUGACGCUGAGGUACGAAAGCAUGGGGAGCAAACAGGAUUAGAUACCCUGGUAGUCCAUGCCGUAAACGAUGUCUACUAGCCGUUGGGGCCUUUGAGGCUUUAGUGGCGCAGCUAACGCGAUAAGUAGACCGCCUGGGGAGUACGGUCGCAAGACUAAAACUCAAAUGAAUUGACGGGGGCCCGCACAAGCGGUGGAGCAUGUGGUUUAAUUCGAUGCAACGCGAAGAACCUUACCUGGCCUUGACAUACUAGAAACUUUCCAGAGAUGGAUUGGUGCCUUCGGG